ensembl:lncRNA
UCUGAUUGUUGUCCUGGACAUUUAUUGAAACGUGAUUGGGUGAGUUCACAAUCAAGGUUACCAUGCAUACAAGACGAUGAGAUUGCUACCAAUCAGCAAUCUCCUUUGCAAUGCAAUGCUCCACCAUUGGCUGACAUCGCAACAACAGCACAUACCUGAUAACAUACUGACAUACGACAUGAAUUAACAAAAUGUAGGUUUUGGUGUUGAAUCGAAAUGGCUCAAAAUCAUGCUUCUUCAGAAUGACGUUCUGCACGGAACCGUAAUCCUUUUCCAAUCCCAUACAGACAGUGCACGUGAAGCCUCCCUAUCCCCAACCCAAGGCUCUAGAAGUCAUUCAUCUACAUUAUGUCUUGCUACAAGGCAAAAUCAAGCCAAAUUAUUGCACUACAUAUUCUACAAAAAUGAUAAUAAUAAUAAUAAAACAAUUUGAACGUUUGGAUCCUCAAAAUAUAAUACUGUAAUAUUGUCCCUAGACCAGGUGUGUGGUCUGUAAUAUUGUCCCUACAGGUGUGUGUGUAAUAUUGUCCCUAGACCAGGUGUGUGAUCUGUACUAUUGUCCCUAGACCAGGUGUGUGUGACACUGCUACAAAGCACAACCCAAAUGAAACACAACAGGUGAUAAGAAGUUCCCACAGUUUAUCCGUUAAGCAGUUUACAGUUGAGCAGUCUUGCUACGUUAUACUCUCCCUCUGCCUAACUUGUUCAUGCAGUGGUUUCAGCUUCGGGAAUGGAGGUGAAGUGAUUUUAAGAUUGGGUUUUGGUUGCUGUUAUAACAUGACAGGAUGAUGGUUGUUCCAUGUGUCAUGUUGUACUCAAGGGCCAACCUGGACAAAGAGAUCUUGCUGAAGCUGAAUAGAGAUUAAGUUCGAAGGCUUAAUUGUCUCAAGGCUUGUUGAGAUGCAGCUGGAAAUCUCAAGUCAAAAUAUAUACUCGACUGUGCCGCUCUUUAUUUACACACACAUACACUGACAUCAGAAAGACAAAAAAAAAGGUAUUAUUGCCAAGUCUCAGACAGCACUGUGUCAGAGGGGUAGAGUGUUGUGUGUUUUUGUGCGUUUGUGAGUGUGUGCGUUUGUGAGCGUUUGUGUGUGAGUGUGUGCGUUUGUGAGUGUGUGUGUGUGCCAUGAACACAUCCAGUGACUUCACUGACAAAUAAAUACAUGAAUAAAUAAACACUAAGUGUUUUGACACACUAAUAUAAUACACAUAUCGCUACAUAUGAGAGACUAAAAGACUUGAUGUUGUUGUUAUUCUCGCCUUGUUAUAUCAUGUCUGUUUAAGUUCAGUAUUACCAUCCGUCUGGAAACAAAAAGAUGACGAUCAGGACCCACAGGAUACCUUCCUUUUUUGCCGUGAAGAGUUAACAUCAAAGACACGUAGCCAGACCCAGACAGACUCAUUCCUGACAACACUGGAUGCAGGAGAGAGAGUGCACCCCAGCCCAGUCAGGCGUGGAUCCAGUCUGGAGUCCGGUCCAGAUUUUAGAUCCAGUCUGGAGUCUGGUCCAGGUUUUUCAGAUGCAUGCGAGACCUGCGCUGGGUCGGCGUCUGGUGGUUAGACAGACAGCGGAAGACUGCACGCAGAGGGGCUCAGACAAAGCGCUGUGUGUUCACUCUCUCUCACACACACGCACGCACACACACACACACACACACACACACACACACACACACACUCCGUUCUGAGCUUGUUGUCAUGGCCACUCAUGCUUUAUGAUUUGUGAAGCGAAGCUUUGGUCUGUUUGAGAUCGUACAAGGGAAAAGUCACUGGCCUUCAGUUCCUGCAUGGCUUGCUAUCUCAUCACACAGUCCAGCGCACACGGACAGAAAGGUAUGCACUCAGACAGACAGGUAUGCACUCAGACAGACAGGUAUGCACUCAGACAGACAGGUAUGCCGUGGUUAACUACUACACCCCAGAGCCACAUGUGGACAGACAGCUUUUGCUCCCUUUUCUCCCUGGCUUUCUUUCUUUCUCUCUUUCUUUCUUUCUCUCUUUCUUUCUUUCUUUCUUUCUCUCUCUUACUGCAUGUAUCUGCAUGACCCUGGCUAAUGAAGCUGACGGAUGAGAUUGGUUGAAAAGGUUCAGCGGCUCGGUUGUCAGAGACGCCUUGAGCACAAGACUGGACUCAGCUCCUGCUCUUGUUUGCCUGCCUCUGUGCACAGGAAGAGUUUCUCAUCUGGAUGUUUCUGAAGUCUAUUCAUUUACUCUUGCUGGUGAUGGGUGUUGAACCCUGCGUGGUUAAGUGGUUGUGGCAGAAGCUGUAGAAAGGGUUGGUUAUUAUUUCAGUUCCCGUUCCUAAAAGUGAUGAUACAGCUCAACAGAAUCCUCCACCGCUGCAGAGAGUGAAACGGAAUCCAGCCACGUCCUGGUGUGGGUCUGAAACGGAUCCAGCCACGUCCUGGUGUGCGUCUGAAACGGAUCCAGCCACGUCCUGGUGUGGGUCUGAAACGGAUCCAGCCACGUCCUGGUCUGGUUUGACGGAUGCGUGUUUCUGUCCCAGUGACGCAGGCUGCCCAGGAUACACCAGUAUGAUUCAUGCUAGUGAACUACCUCGUUUACAGUCCGAAUGAGUAGGAGACGUAACACAGAUACUAAUGGCUAUUACAUAGCCCUCGUUACCAUGGCACUACAUGAUUAACUUACAUAACCCUCGUUACAACGCCACUACACGAUUAAGUUACAUAACCCUCGUUACCAUGGCACUACACGAUUAAGUUACAUACCCCUCGUUACCAUGGCACUACACGAUUAAGUGCAAGGUAGCUCUGUCUGUGCUCUGUUAUAGUUCAUUUGUGUAGAGUAAUUAAAUAUGAAUAUGCUGUCAUUAGAUUGAACCAGGAGUGGGGUUACAGUUAGGGGUUAUAUUAGCAUAUAGCAUCAAGUCUUUUUACAUACUACUACUAAUAAUAACAAUAAUAAUAAUAAUAAUAACAAUAAUAAUAAUAAUAAUGAACAUAAUAAUAAUAAUAAUAAUAAUAAUAAUGAACAUAAUAAUAAUAAUAAUAAUAAUUGUUGUUGCAUUCAAGGGGUAUGGUCACGAUGUAACAAGGCUGGUGUAAUACACCCUUAUUACAGGGUAGUGCUUUAUAGUGCCUUUAUAACAUUGUAAUUACAUUGUAACACACUAACUAGCUAACUAACAGUCUGUACUUGUAUGUAGAGAGGAAUCCAAAACCUGUUCCCAAUCUCACCCCUAACACUAGCCUGUGUUAAUGUUACUCAGUGUGGCACCAGUGUUAUAUAUCGUACUUAAUUGUGUAGUUAGACUGUAACAUGGGGGAAGUAAUACAACAUGGGGAAAGUGACAUCUACUGUGACAUUAAUAUCAUGCCUUCAUAACCCUUCAUAAUGCUUCAUAACCCUUCACAGCAGAGAAAUGCACCAUACACUAAAAGUCCGUCACAGUGAAGAGGAAACCUCACGCACACAGGCAUGAACUCCCUCCCAUGCCAGUAUGGUGGGCACAGUGUGGUCUGAUGCCAUCUUCCCAUGCCAGUGUGGUGGGCACAGUGUGGUCUGAUGCCACUUUUCCAUGCCAGUAUGGUGGGCACAGUGUGGUCUGAUGCCAUCUUCCUAUGCCAGUGUGGUGGGCACAGUGUGGUCCGAUGCCACCCUCCCAUGCCAGGGAAAACCUCACAGUAAGGAGGGAAAGGAGGAAGAAGGGAACAAACCGGGCAGCCAGCACUGAGCCGGAUCAGGCCCAGCUCCGGGCCCGCAUCGGUGUCCACUUCCUGCUUCAGUGUCCAUAUUAGGAGUGAUGACAGGACAACAAACAUGUGAUGGACAGACAGACGAUCCAAUGGCAGCAGCCGUGUGCUUAUCAAGGACUUGCUACAGUGUCUGUGUCAAUUUGCUACAGUCCCUGUCCUCCAUCCAUGACAGUGAGAGGGUGAGAGGGUGAGAGGGUGAGAGGGUGAGAGGGUGAGAGGGUGAGGUCAGGU